rnacentral:rRNA from 1 species
CUCAAUUAUCUUAUAGCCUCUGGCUAUAGGAAAUUGUUAGUGGCAGACGGGUGAGUAAUGCGUAGGAAUCUACCUAGUAGUACGGAAUAGCCAUUAGAAAUGGUGGGUAAUACUGUAUAAUCCCCGAGGGGGAAAGAUUUAUCGCUAUUAGAUGAGCCUACGUUAGAUUAGCUAGUUGGUGAGGUAAUGGCUUACCAAGGCUAUGAUCUAUAGCUGGUCUGAGAGGACGAUCAGCCACACUGGAACUGAGAUACGGUCCAGACUCCUACGGGAGGCAGCAGUGGGGAAUAUUGGACAAUGGGCGAAAGCCUGAUCCAGCUAUGCCGCGUGAGUGAAGAAGGCCUUCGGGUUGUAAAACUCUUUCAAUAGGGAAGAUAAUGACGGUACCUAUAA